rnacentral:lncRNA from 1 species
CACCUGUAAUUCCAGCUACCCGGAAGGCUGAGGCAGGAGAACUGUUUGAACCCAGGAGAUGCAGGUUGCAGUGAGCUGAGAUCGCGCCACUGCACUCCAGCCUGGGUGACAAGAACGAGACUCCGUUGGAAAAAAAAAAAAACAGCAAGGUACUGGAUGCGGCAUGCUGGUGGGGACUGGGGCCCUGGCGCCCCUUGUAAAGCGCCUGUUUGCCCAUCCGUAAGCUGGAUCCUGCCCCGUCCUUCCCAUGGAAGCCAUCACAGUCAGAGAAGAGGGUAGAAGACAGGAAACCAUCCAUUCAUUCACUCAACUCAUUCCGUGAGCAUUUAUUGAGCACCUACUGUGUACAGACAGUGUUGUGGGCCUUGGGGACUCAGCAGUGAAGAAGACAGGCAAGUUCCUGCCCUUGUGGGGCUGACAUUCAGCAGAGAGGCAGGAAGGAAACGCUGAACACAACAUGUAAAUGACAUUGUCUGUCAGAAGAAUUUAGUGGGAAAGAGAGUGUGGACAGACAAGAGGAAUAGCAAACGCCAGGCACGGUGGCUCACGCCUGUAAUCCCAGCACUUUGGGAGGUCGAGGCAGGUGAAUCACCUAAGGUCAGGAGCUCCAGACCAGUCUGGCCAACACGGUGAAACCUCGUCUCUACUAAAAAUACAAAAAUUAGCCAGGCAUGAUGGUGGGCACCUGUAAUCCCAGCUACUCAGGAGGCUAAGGUGGAAGGAUGGCUUGAACCCAGGAGGUGGAGGUUGCAGUGAGCUGAGGUUGCGCCAUUGCCCUCCAGCCUGGGCAACAGAGCAAGACUCUGUCUCAAAAAAAAAAAAUUAGCCACGUGUGGUGGUGCACACCUGUAGUCCCAGAUACUCAGGAGGCUGAGGUGGGAGGAUUACCUGAUGGGGGAGGUCGAGGCUGCAGUGAGCCAAGAUCACAUCACUGCACUCCAGCCUGGGUGGCAGAGUGAGACCCUAUCUUAUUCAAAAAAAUAAAAACAACAAGGGUACCGAGGGCACCCAGUGACAAUGGGGAAGCUGGGGAAGUUCUCCCAGAGGAACACACAAGGCGUCUAACAGCAGGUGUCUGGAUGGCUGAAGCCCAAGCUGGUUGUGGGGCAAGGAGAGGUGAGCAGGGAAGAGACAGGAUUGUCUGGGCUCAGCUUUGCCUUGUGGGGCUGCAGGGCACUGGGGAACCAUAGAUGGUGUUUGAGCUGGGGCAGGCCAGGGCAUAUUUCUCUGGUGAAAGAGUGGAGUAGGGAGAGGAGGUGGGGAGACCCGGAGGCGACAUGGCUCAGGGUUGGGGUGGGGGCCAUAAGGCCUCAGCUAAAGUCAUGGCUGGGGAGAGGCGAGGGGGGUCUCUGACUCAGGGACAGGGGAGGAGUGAGGUUUUGGGACCCACCUAUAGCUUCCGGUCGUCCAAGGCUCCAGAGGGUGGCCAGAUCUGCAAGGAGUGGUGGGGCGUGCUGGGCGGAGCCCCGGGGUAGAGCUCUACGGAAGUAGGAAGGGCAGGGGCGCCCUCAGGGAAACCUC